GUCAGGAUGGCCGAGCGGUCUAAGGCGCCAGACUCAAGAGUUGGAGGCGUGGGUUCAAAUCCCACUUCUGACA